GUUCUCACUGUGGCAGCACAUAAACUAAAUUUAAAACGAUACAGAGAUGAUUGGCAUCAUCUCUGGGCACAGAUGAUAUGCAAAUUGACGACAAAUCAUGAGGCUGU